rnacentral:lncRNA from 1 species
AAAAAUUUUCUCAUGCUUCAUGAAGUUAAUAUUUUAAAAAUAAUUUUGUAAUUAGGAGUAUUUUAUAGAAUAAAAGUUAUAAAGGAGAAAAAUAAAGACUAGGUCCAGCUUCAAAGGCAUAAAAUAUAUCAGGUGCAAAUUAGAUCCAUUAUUUCCCUAGACUUGUGACUUGGGAGUUAUGCAAAGGAACCUCGGAAAGAAUAACCCUCACCACGUCGUCACGUACCUGAACCCAUCAUGUACCUGAGGCUUUCCUGUGCCUCAUCUUAUGAGUCAUGUUUUGUUAUUCUCCAAGCAAUAAUGAUCCUAUUUUUAAUUUUUAAUGUACAGCUAUGAAACCACCAUUGCAAAAUUGUAACUGAGACAGUGAAAGAGAUCUUACCUAACUGACUCCGUCUUGCUUCUAACCUCCAAACUCCUUGUUCAGCCUGGGGGUAGGUUGAACUAACUUUGAGAGGAACUUAGUUUAUAGUUUAAAACAAAGAUUAUAUUAAUUACAGGCCUGUCCCAAGACAAAUCCCUUUCUUGCUUGAGGACUAGAUGAACAAAUUAGCCAUAAGAUUAGAAAUUAUAGUUUAGGAGUCAUGUAGCUGGAUGCUACAAGAUUCUGAUCUUCCUUACACUGCUCCGAAGAUCAGUGCUUGAUAUAUUUUGCAGACCUGGCACUUGAUGGAUCAGCUGGCACCACCGAGAUUGAUAAACUGGCUCAUCUCAUCUUGUGGCCUCCACCCAAGAAUUCCCUAUUAUUUCAUCUCCAACCCAGCCAAUCAGCACUCUCUACUCACUGGCCUUCCUGCACCCACCAGAUUAUCCUUAAAUACUCUGUUCCCUGAAUGCUCCAGGAGACUGAUAAAACUCCAGUCUCUCACACAGCUGGCUCUGUGCAAAUUACUCUUUCUCUAUUGCAAUUCCUCUGUCUUGAUAAAUUGGCUCUGUCUAGGCAGUGGGCAAGGUGAACCCAUUGAGCGGUUACAGCUACUUGAAAGUUUGUGCUAAAUUGUGGGCCUAAGAAGGUUUUUAUUACUCAGCCUAUAAAACAAUCAAAUUUUCUGUAAGGGUCUCCUUUAUGUGCCAUAACUCUAAAGCUAAAUUUGAAUUAGAAAAUGUCCCUCUCAAUUGUUAGUUAAGAGAAUUCUACCUCUCAAGCCUAAGUUAAGGCUGGUAUCUAUGCGACACUGUAACUAUGAUUUACAACACAAACAAAAAUAUAAUAGGAAAAAAAUUCACAAUAGAGAAUGUCUGUUAACUUUUUAAGGUUAGAAUAUCUAAGCUGGAUUUUUUUUUCCCCAAAGAACUGUUGUCACUGUCAUAGGAUUUCAGAAUGAACAAAAGUUGAUGAUUCAGCAAAAAGAUAUCGUUUUUCAUAACUGCUAAGGAUAAUCUUUAUCCUCAAGAACAACAGAAACAAGAAAAACAAACAUUCCCAAUCUGCUUCGUUGAAAUUUGAGAUGAACACCUGAUCUUGUUGGGCAACACUGAAUGAGAAGGGAGUAUAAACUUCAAUUACUUAAGCUUGACCAGCAGGAGCUGAUUGUGAGGUUGAGUUGCAAGUGAUGAUUUAUUUCUGGGGAACUCCCACACACACUGACAGAUGAACCUCUAUUAAAAAAGAGAUACCUCUGCACCAGAAUUCCAGGUGUCUAGACAAGUGUACACAGAAGAAGAAAAUGUCAGGUCUCUGAGCACAGGCCUGCACGUAUAUAUCCAGAUGGCCUGAAGCAAGUGAAGAAUUACAAAAGAAGUGAAAAUGGCCAGUUCCUGCCUUAACUGAUGACAUUACCUUGUGAAAUUCCUUCUCCUGGGUCAGAAGCUUCCCCACUGAGCACCUUAUGAUGGCCACCCCUGCCCGUCAGAAAGCAACCCCCUUUGACUGUAAUUUUCCACUACCUACACAAAUCCUAUAAAAUGGCCCCACCACUAUCUCCCUUCACUGAGUCUCUAUUUGGACUCAGCCUGCCUGCACCCAGGUGAUUAAAAAGCUUUAUUGCUCAC